UUUCAAUACUGUUAAUAGAUCUGAAAGAAAAAUGGCGGACGUUGAAAACCGAGUCUUUCCGGAAUAUGUUGGAGUUUCCAAGGAAAAAAAGAAGAAAAAGAAAUCAAGAUUCUGUUGUAGGUGUGGGAAAGGGAAGUGGGAAAAUAAAGAGUCAUGCUUGGUUUGUGAUGCAAAGUAUUGCAUCAAUUGUGUGCUCAGAGCAAUGGGUUCAAUGCCUGAGGGGCGCAAAUGUGUAGGUUGCAUCAGUGAGCCAAUUGAUGAGUCAAAGAGGUUCAAGCUUGGCAAACAUUCUAGAGUAUUAUCACGUUUGCUUAGUCCCUUGGAAGUCAAGCAAAUAAUGAAAGCAGAAAAAGAAUGUGCUGCUAAUCAGCUCCGACCGGAGCAGUUGAUUAUUAAUGGAUUUCCUUUGAAGCCUGAUGAGAUGGCAGAACUCUUUGGGUGCCUUUUACCUCCUAGGAAGUUGAAGCCUGGGAGGUAUUGGUAUGAUAAGGAAUCUGGACUAUGGGGAAAGGAAGGAGAAAAACCAGACAGAGUUGUCAGUUCAAACCUAAAUUUUACGGGAAAACUUAGUGCUCAUGCUAGCAAUGGAAGUACUCAGGUUUACAUUAAUGGCCGAGAGAUAACAAGACGUGAACUCCGAGUGCUGAAGUUUGCAAAAGUGCAAUGCCCUCGUGACACUCACUUUUGGGUAUAUGAUGAUGGUCGUUACGAGGAAGAAGGACAAAACAACAUUCGGGGUAACAUAUGGGAAAAGGCGACAACAAGGUUUGUUUGCUCUCUGUUUUCCUUGCCUGUACCACAUGGUCAACCCUAUGGACAGAGAGACGAGCCUAGCAAUUAUACUACUGUUCCAAAUUACUUGGAGCAGAAAAGGAUUCAAAAGCUACUUUUACUAGGGCUUGAAGGUUCUGGAACAAGCACUAUUUUCAAACAGGCGAAAUUUUUGUAUGGUAACACUUUUACCUCUGAAGAAAUUCAAGACAUCAAAUUGAUGAUUCAAAGCAAUAUUUACAAGUAUCUGAGCAUUCUUCUUGAUGGAAGGGAGCGCUUUGAGGAGGAGGCUUUAGCAAGAAUAAAUGUGGAAG
rnacentral:misc_RNA from 1 species